rnacentral:rRNA from 1 species
GAAGCUGGAAUCGCUAGUAAUCGCGGAUCAGAAUGCCGCGGUGAAUACGUUCCCGGGUCUUGUACACACCGCCCGUCACACCAUGGGAGUCGGAAAUGCCCGAAGCCGGUGACUCAACCUUUAAGGAGAGAGCCGUCGAAGGCAGGUCUGAUAACUGGGGUGAAGUCGUAACAAGGUAAC